rnacentral:tRNA from 1 species
GGACCCGUCGUUCAACGGUUAGGACGCCACUCUUAUAAAGUGGAUGUAGAAGGCUCGACUCCUUCCGGGUCCA